GGUCUACGCUCCACAAACACAUCAAGCAUCUACUAUUAAAUGUGGGCUGGGUUUUCACUGUUGGAAAUGGAUGGACUGUUUCAGGAAAAACCUUCAAGUCACAUAUCAUAUAUGCAAUCUAAGACUUACUAAACCAGUCGACUUAGUUGGCUUACUGCAAAACAAGAACCAUUACUGACCACCUACUUCUGUGUUGGACUACAAGGUGAAACAGCCAUUCUGUUAGAAGGAACAACAUUACAAUGUGAUGGACUACAAGGUGAAACAGCCAUUCUGUUAGAAGGAACAACAUUACAAUGUGUUGGACUACAAGGUGAAACAGCCAUUCUGUUAGAAGGAACAACAUUACAAUGUGAUGAUAUCAGGAUCUCCAAUGUGUUUUUCAUCUGAGUU
rnacentral:lncRNA from 1 species